GGGUGCUUGGCGCAAUGGUAGCGCGCGGUCCUCCUACAUGGGUACAGACUGAGGUUGAGGGUUCGAGUCCCUUGGUGCUCG
rnacentral:tRNA from 1 species